rnacentral:rRNA from 1 species
UACGGGGGGAGCAAGCGUUGUUCGGAUUUACUGGGCGUAAAGGGCGCGUAGGCGGCGCAACAAGUCACUUGUGAAAUCUCCGGGCUUAACCCGGAGCGGCCAACUGAUACUGUGCGACUAGAGUGCGGAAGGGGCAACUGGAAUUCUUGGUGUAGCGGUGAAAUGCGUAGAUAUGCGGAGGAACACCGAUGGCGAAGGCAAUCCCCUGGGCCUGCACUGACGCUCAUGCACGAAAGCGUGGGGAGCAAACAGG